GCUUGUCUCAAAGUUAAGCCAUGCAUGUCUAAGUAUAAAUGUUAUACAGUGAAACUGCGAAUGGCUCAUUAAAACAGUUAUAGUUUAUUUGAUAAUCGAAUUUACAUGGAUAACCGUAGUAAUUCUAGAGCUAAUACAUGCGAAAAGACGCGACUCACGAAGCGUUGUAUUUAUUAGAUACAAAACCAAUGCGGGGCAACCCGGUAUAAGGUGAUUCAUAAUAACUUUGCGAAUCGCAUGGCCUUGCGCCGGCGAUGAAUCAUUCAAAUUUCUGCCCUAUCAACUUUCGAUGGUAAGGUAUUGGCUUACCAUGGUCGCAACGGGUAACGGGGAAUAAGGGUUCGGUUCCGGAGAGGGAGCCUGAGAAAUGGCUACCACAUCCAAGGAAGGCAGCAGG
rnacentral:rRNA from 1 species